UGCUACAUCCUAAGCCUCAGUUCAUGCAAUGAUUUGCCGGAGAAUUCUUAUCACGGCCCGCUCAUUUUAUCUCUAUACCGAUAAAAUCUGAAGGAACAGACUGAUUCAAAAUGGGAAGAAAUCUACAGAACCCUAAAGAUGUUUAGAUUAUGUAAUUAAAUACAGAAUUCCUGAAUAGUGCUACUGGAUCUCCAAUCUUGUGAGGUUUGUAUCAUCAUUUUGCAAAGAAGUAAACUGACACUUAAGAAACCGAAGCAACUUGUCAAUGACCUUAAGGCCAGUAGCAGACCCAAGGUUUUAACCAGAGCUAAUAAGACACAUAGCUCCGAGUAAAUUCUCAACAGGAUGUCAUAGAGAAAACGGUACCAGAGAAAGAGAGAAGCAGCAGAGGG